rnacentral:rRNA from 1 species
UACGAGAGGUCCAAACGUUAUUCGGAAUUACUGGGCUUACAGAGUUCGUAGGCGGCUCUACAAGUGAGGUGUGAAAGCCCUCGGCUCAACCGAGGAACUGCGCUUCAAACUGUAGAACUAGAGGGAGAUAGAGGUGAGCAGAACUGAUGGUGGAGCGGUGAAAUGCGUUGAUAUCAUCAGGAACACCGGUGGCGAAAGCGGCUUACUGGGUCUCUUCUGACGCUGAGGAACGAAAGCUAGGGGAGCAAACAGG